AGAAACUUAGGAUAACCAAUUUAAACCAGGAGCCUUCAAAGCCCCAAAUAAGAGAUAAACCCUCUUAGUUUCUG
rnacentral:tRNA from 1 species